rnacentral:rRNA from 1 species
AACGAACGCUGGCGGCAUGCUUAACACAUGCAAGUCGAACGAGACCGUCGGGUCUUGUGGCGCACGGGUGCGUAACGCGUGGGAACCUGCCCUUAGGUUCGGAAUAACUCCCCGAAAGGGGUGCUAAUACCGGUUAAUGUCUUCGGACCAAAGAUGUAUCGCCUUUGGGUGGGGCCGCGUUGGAUUGGCUGGUUGGUAGGGUAAAAGCCUACCAUGGCGUCGAUCCAUAGCUGGUCUGAGAGGAUGCCAAGCCACGCUGGGACUGAGGCACGGCCCAGAAUCGUACGGGAGGCAGCAGUAGGGAGUACUAGGGGAGGAGGCAAAACCUGACCCAGCAGUGCCGCGUAAGUGAUCAAGGCCUUAGGAUUGUAAAGCUCUUUUAGCCGAGGUGAUAGUGACAGUACCGGGAGAAUAAGCACCGGCUAACUCCGUG